CUAAUUAACUAUCAUCAUCACUCCUUAAUUUAUUAUUAAAAACACAAAAAGGAAGCCAAUAAAACGUUGAAAAAAGAAAAAGAAAAAAACCAACGCUUUCUUUUGAAUCUUCCCGUAUUUUCCUGUUUUGAACUGGUCGUUGUUGUAGUUGUUGUUAUUGGUAGGGAGCUGGGUUCCUCUCUUUGAACCCUUCAUCUUCUUGUAAAUCUCUCCAUUUUAAGGGGGUCAAGCUCCUGGUUUCUGCUUUGUGAGUUCUUUUCUUUUGCUAUUGUUAAAUGUGGAGAGAUCCUGGACAGCCUGCUGAUUCGUACUAUCAGGUCCGGCCUGAAUGCACCGAUGUUCCAAAAUCUAAAUUCAAAAUCAAGGCAGGUAGAACUUUAAGUUCAAGGAAAUGGCAGGCUGCAUUUACUCCAGAAGGAUACCUGGAUAUAAGCAAAACCCUUAGUCGAAUCUACCGUGGGGGGGUCCAUCCAUCAAUUAGAGGAGAAGUUUGGGAAUUUCUACUCGGUUGUUAUGAUCCUAAGAGUACAUUUGAUGAACGAGAUCAGAUUCGACAGCGUAGAAGGGUACAAUAUGUUAGGUGGAAAGAAGAGUGCCGCCAAAUAUUUCCUGUUGUCGGAAGUGGCAAAUUUAUUACAGCGCCUGUAAUCACUGAAGAUGGUCAGCCCAUUCAGGAACCAUUAGUAAUUUUAGAAACAAAUCAAGACAGAGGCCCCUCUCAAGAUGGUAAUUCUGCUGAAAUUGGCAGUUCACAUGCCUAUGCCACAAAUCAAUCAAGAACAAAUGCUUCCUGUUCAGAAAUGGUGAAAGAGCUUACAAGCCAUGGCCCUUUGGACCAGAAAGUGAUCCAGUGGAUGCUUACCUUACAUCAAAUAGGUCUUGAUGUGCAUCGCACUGACAGGACAUUGGUGUUUUAUGAGAAGCAGGAGAACUUGUCAAAACUUUGGGAUAUUUUAGCUGUUUAUGCCUGGAUCGAUACAGAUGUCGGCUAUUGUCAAGGAAUGAGUGAUCUUUGCUCACCCAUGAUAAUGCUUCUUGAAGAUGAAGCGGAUGCAUUUUGGUGUUUUGAACGAUUGAUGCGCAGAUUGCGAGGAAAUUUCAGAUGCACUGGGAGAACUGUUGGGGUGGAGACACAACUUAGUAAUUUGGCUGAAAUUACUCAAGUCAUUGAUCCAAAACUUCAUCAGCAUUUAGAUGCACUUGGUGGAGGUGACUAUUUAUUUGCUUUCCGCAUGCUCAUGGUUUUAUUCCGCCGAGAAUUUUCAUUUUGUGAUUCACUCUACCUUUGGGAGAUGAUGUGGGCCCUUGAAUACGACCCUGAUUUGUUCUCUGUAUAUGAAGAGCUGGAACUGAAUGGUGAGAAACAUGAGGGAUCUAAGGGAAGAGUAAAGUCAAUACGGCACUAUGGGAAGUUCGAAAGGGAAAAUAUGAAAAAUGGGGCAGCAAAUUCUGAAGGCCCCCUCCCCAUGUCUGUUUUUCUUGUUGCAAGUGUAUUGAAAGAUAAGAGCUCUAAGCUUUUGCACGAAGCUCGAGGCCUGGAUGAUGUUGUCAGGGGGAUGACUGGUGAGUUGCUGCAGCUUGGGCAUCACCCUUUCUGUGUGCAUGUGUCUCGAGAAAGAUUCAAACCUAAAUUCCAAGCAGCCUCCAUUUCCCUCUCUAGUUGCCAUAGCUGUGUGUUGCUUGUUGAGGAGCAGUCUCAAACCCCACUCAUGACAUUGUUAUUUGGAGUCUGAAACUGAAAACAUGGCCAGAGUUUGUCUGGUGGCGUGGAACAGUUGAAUGUGUCCUACACCAGUCAUGUGCUAUGCUUAUAUUGAAUGACAUGACUGGAAAUUUAGAUGCCAAAAAAGCAUGCAGCGGUGCAAUGAAACUUCACAGAAAGUAUUUAAAAAAGGCGAAGAAGGCAUAGCCUACAAUGAAACACAUGAUUUUUUUCCCCAGUCGACAAGUAUUGGGAAGCUUUCGUUUUGUAUUUUAAUUUUUCAAGUGAUGACAAUAUACUUGCACAUAAAUUUUUUGCUUGGAGAUCACAAAACUGUAAAGAUUGCUCCAACCUGCAAAAUGGUCAUACAGAAAGCAAAUUGUUGUAUGUAAACCACCCCCUUCCUCACGAAAAUCUAUGUAUAAACAGAACCAUGCAUGUAUCCAUCCAUGUUGUGUAAUAUACGUUCUAAUUUAAUCAUCAAUGAAAUACAAAGAAAAUCAUCUGCGUGCA